rnacentral:rRNA from 1 species
UGCAGUCGAACGAUGAACUGGAGCUUGCUCCAGGGAUUAGUGGCGAACGGGUGAGUAACACGUGAGUAACCUGCCCUUGACUCUGGGAUAAGCGCUAGAAAUGGCGUCUAAUACCGGAUACGAGCUUCAGCCGCAUGGCUAGGAGUUGGAAAGAAUUUUGGUCAAGGAUGGACUCGCGGCCUAUCAGCUAGUUGGUGAGGUAAUGGCUCACCAAGGCGACGACGGGUAGCCGGCCUGAGAGGGUGACCGGCCACACUGGGACUGAGACACGGCCCAGACUCCUACGGGAGGCAGCAGUGGGGAAUAUUGCACAAUGGGCGAAAGCCUGAUGCAGCAACGCCGCGUGAGGGAUGACGGCCUUCGGGUUGUAAACCUCUUUUAGUAGGGAAGAAGCGAAAGUGACGGUACCUGCAGAAAAAGCACCGGCUAACUACGUGCCAGCAGCCGCGGUAAUACGUAGGGUGCAAGCGUUGUCCGGAAUUAUUGGGCGUAAAGAGCUCGUAGGCGGUUUGUCGCGUCUGCUGUGAAAUCUGGGGGCUCAACCCCCAGCCUGCAGUGGGUACGGGCAGACUAGAGUGCGGUAGGGGAGAUUGGAAUUCCUGGUGUAGCGGUGGAAUGCGCAGAUAUCAGGAGGAACACCGAUGGCGAAGGCAGAUCUCUGGGCCGUAACUGACGCUGAGGAGCGAAAGCAUGGGGAGCGAACAGGAUUAGAUACCCUGGUAGUCCAUGCCGUAAACGUUGGGAACUAGAUGUGGGGGCCAUUCCACGGUCUCCGUGUCGCAGCUAACGCAUUAAGUUCCCCGCCUGGGGAGUACGGCCGCAAGGCUAAAACUCAAAGGAAUUGACGGGGGCCCGCACAAGCGGCGGAGCAUGCGGAUUAAUUCGAUGCAACGCGAAGAACCUUACCAAGGCUUGACAUAUACCGGAAACGUCCAGAGAUGGUCGCCCCGCAAGGUCGGUAUACAGGUGGGGGCAUGGUUGUCGUCAGCUCGUGUCGUG